AUUGUGAUGAGGGUGAUGAUCCAGCAGUCCCAAUGUGUCAGGUCCCGGGCUGGGAUCCAUGUCAUCCUUACAACAGUUCAGCAAGAAACAUGUUAUUCGAUCCAUUCACUGAGGAGGAAACUGAAAUCACUCGGAGAGGAGGAGUGAUUCAGCCCCAAAUUCCAAAGUGGUAGAAAUGGACUUGGGCUUCCCUAAUGUCUUAGCUAGUCCCCCAUCUACCUGUCCAUUCCUGGGACAGGUGAGUCAUUCUGCCUGAACUUCCACAGUUAGACUGAGACAUAAAAUGCUAAUCUACCUGGAAAGACAGGGGUAUAUGUCAGAGCCAUUAUUCAAGAUCAGAUGACCUGUUAAACUGAGACUUCUGCACCAUCUGAACCAUCAGUCACUCAUCUGAACCAUCAGUCACUCAUCUGAACCAUCAGUCACUCUCUGGCCCAGAGAGGUGGUAUUUGCCAAGGACACACAGCAGGUGGCCAAGAUGGAGCCAAGCCAUUUUCCCCACUGCAGGGCUCAUGGUUUCGACUUUGUUGGUUCUCUAGCAGGACGCGGGUAUCCUCAAGGUCACAGGCUCAGCUAAUACCUCGAUCACCCACAGUGGAGGUGAGAGCCUGCCCACUCUCUAACACUUCUGUGGCCCAGACUAUCCCCACAUCUUACCUUUUGCUCCAGCUCUUUCCUGGCUGUCAGCUCCGAGUCCAGCCUCUCCUCGCAUUGCUGCAGACGCUUUCUGAGGAACUCAUUCUCCAUCUGAGCACAGUCGAAGCGCAUCUGCCACUCGUCUGCUGUUUAACGGAGUCAGGGAGACCAGGAUAAGAGACCAAAUGAGUACCCCUGAUCUCCAUUCCCCUGGACAUCUCAAGGGCACAAAUUCUCUGGACACACGGAGGGAAUAAUGCUGACAUUUUAUAGAAGCUGAGCCACUGGAUAUCCUUCUCACCCAACUCCAUUAGGCUGGGGAGAGUAAGAGGCACGGUGACAAGGUGGCAAAGAUGUCACCGUGCCAUCCAAUCACGAGGUCUCCAGGAAACUGU
rnacentral:antisense_RNA from 1 species